AGGGGAUGUAGCUCACAUGGUAGAGCGCUCGCUUUGCAUGCGAGAGGUACGGGGUUCGAUACCCCGCAUCUCCAUUAUUUUUAUCUUAAACAAAUUUUCGGUAUUCAACGGAAUCAAUCAUCUGUAAAUUGUCAUAAGCACCCGCACGUUCUCUCUCUCUCUCUCUCUCUUUUAGGACUAAAAUAUAUUAACUACAAGAGGGUGUAGCUCACAUGGUAGAGCGCUCGCUUUGCAUGCGAGAGGUACGGGGUUCGAUACCCCGCAUCUCCAUUAUUUUUAUCUUAAACAAAAUUUUCGGUAUUCAACGUAAUCAAUCAUCUAUAAAUUGUCAUAAGCACCCGCACGUUCUCUCUCUCUCUCUCUCUCUCUCUCUCUCUCUCUCUCUCUCUCUUUAGGACUAAAUUAUAUUAACGACAAGGGGAUGUAGCUCACAUGGUAGAGCGCUCGCUUUGCAUGCCAGAGGUACGGGGUUCGAUACCCUGCAUCUCCAUUAUUUUUAUCUUAAACAAAUUUUUUGGUAUUCAACGGAAUCAAUCAUCUGUAAAUUGUCAUAAGCACCCGCACGUUCUCUCUCUUUUAGGAAUAAAAUAUAUUAACUACAAGGGGAUGUAGCUCACAUGGUAGAGCGCUCGCUUUGCAUGCGAGAGGUACGGGGUUCGAUACCCCGCAUCUCCAUUAUUUUUAUCUUAAACAAAAUUUUCGGUAUUCAACGGAAUCAAUCAUCUGUAAAUUGUCAUAAGCACCCGCACGUUCUCUCUCUCUUUUACGACUAAAAUAUAUUAACUACAAGGGGGUGUAGCUCACAUGGUAGAGCGCUCGCUUUGCAUGCGAGAGGUACGGGGUUCGAUACCCUGCAUCUCCAUUAUUUUUAUCUUAAACAAAAUUUUCGGUAUUCAACGGAAUCAAUCAUCUGUAAAUUGUCAUAAGCACCCGCACGUUCUCUCUCUUGUAGGACUAAAAUAUAUUAACUACAAGGGGAUGUAGCUCACAUGGUAGAGCGCUCGCUUUGCAUGCGAGAGGUACGGGGUUCAAUACCCUGCAUCUCCAUUA
rnacentral:tRNA from 1 species